UAGACGUAAUUGGGCUCUUAAUUCAAAUGUAUGAGAAAAGGGUUUCAAAUGCAAAUGGUUCAUUCUCGCUCCUUUCCCCAUUAUUUCUUUUCUCUGUUUCGUGGCUCUGUAUUUCCCUUUUUCUUUCUUCUCUACCAGAAUCUAGAUGAAAAACUUGAUGAACAACCAUCUAUACUUCCUAAAAGUUACGAGGUUUCCAUUGAAAGAUUUAGAGGUCACGAAACGGACUUUAUUCAUCCAAGAAUAAUACAAUGGUAUAGUGUUAUCGAAAAAGUUGGUACGUGGUAUAUACUCACAUUUUGGAAGGGUUUACAAAUCACAAGCUGCGAAAAUAAGUUUAGACAUUCGUUACUAAAGCAUUCGCAGUUGACAAGCUGAGAUUAUAAGGGGUCUCUAAGUAGCAAGGGAGCCUACAAUAAUUAAUUUGAUUGUUAGAGAGUUAAAGCCAUAUUUCCAGAUGUUGGUGCAAUCCUUCUGAAAUAUCGAUGAAAAAAAUGUUAUUUUUACAUUUGUAAGGUAACACUUCUAAGGCUUCAUGUUUUAUCCUGGUGAAAAAAAUAGUCGUGGGGUAUACCUUAAUGUAUAUGAUUGUGACUUUUGAAUUGCAUUACUUACCUAUUAAAGUAGUUGUUAGAUAUGUUGUUGUAGAUCCAACCAUUACAUCUUAGUUAUUUUGCUAUUAAUAGUAGAUUUAUCGUGUGUGUUUGUAUUAUUUACAAUUUUCUUUCAAAUCAUACAUACAAUGAUAGUGUAGACCCCUCAUCAUGUGGAAUCCAUGGCUGAUUAGUGAGGAUGUUGGAGUUGGAUUUAAUGUCUAAAAAUUAAGGCUCUUCUUUCUAAGCACUUCUACAAUUGUCUAUUUCACGAGACCAAUGCCAUUUAUAGCAAUCUUCAGGUGUUAUUCAGGGAAGGUGUACUAAUUUUCCUAUUUAAUAUUCUCAUGAAUAAUAAUUUUAUUAUCUUAUGAAUUACUGAUAUUUAAAUUUUCAUGUAAAACAAUAUAAAUUAAUGAAGACUAUAUUUUUGUCAUUGAUGCAUUUUAGGCAUUUGAUGAAUUCUACAUUCAGAGGCAGCAAAAGGUAAAUGUCAAGAAGGUGAAUGUAGAAAUUUGUUCCAACAGUUGAUUGAUCAGGUGAGCUACUGUCACACUAAAGGUGUGUUCCACAGGGAUCUCAAGGUUCUUUUUCUCCCUUUUCAAGUUCAAAUUGCACCACAUGGUUAUCUUUGGUCUUGCGUCUUUCACACAAAUGUUGUUAUGUCCUUGCAGCUUGAGAAUGUACUGGUGGAUCAUGAAAAAAAAAAAAACUUGAAAAUAAUUUAUUUUGGUCUUAGUGUUUUACCCCAACAUCUUAAGGUAAGAUGUUAUAUGCUUUCAACCACUUUAGAUAAAGCAUAUGAUUUUUCUUAUUGGCUUCACCAUGUGAAAAUUUCUAGGCAGAUGGAUUGUUGCAUACAACUUGUGGAAGUCAUAAUAAGGUCUAUGAUGCUUACCUUGUUGCAUACAACAUUAGAUGCAUGGUUAUGUUGUGUUUUAUUGUAUGCAAUCCUGGCUGGAUGUUUACCUUUUAUACAACAAAGAUAUGCUAAGUUUGUGAAGGUUUGUUCAUGUUUGAUAGUUUCUGAUUAAAGUUUUGUAAUGGGUUUGAUGGUUUGUGGUUAAAGGUUUUUUUUUUCACGAUUUAUGGUUAAAGGUUUGAGAUGGGUUUUCUUAACAAAUGCAUUUGAUUUCUCUAUGUAUCUCCCUGAAAGAAACAUUUUUUGUUUCUUUGGCAUGAUCUUGAUCAUUUGUUAAAUUUUCAUAAUUUGUUUAUUCUUAUACUAAUUUUAACGUGUAUGACGUAGAUCAGUGAUGGAUUUGUUGAAGACAAAGAUUUGAUUGUGUCUCUUAUAUCUGUUGUGGUAGAGGAGCAUGUGUACUUGAGGACAUUGGUCCCAAGUAAUAGUUUCAUGUCAGAUUAAGUUGAAGUUGUAAUUGAGAUUAUAUAGUAUUUGACACUAUAAACAUUCUGCAUGAGAAAAAUAAAAA